AACAGGCUAUUUUCACAUGGAGAAUGGUUUCAGCUGUUGAAUUCACCUCAGAUCAGUGUUGCUGUAAUUCCCGAUCUAUGGAAAGAAUAAUUGAAUGAGCGAGCAACGCCACAACUACAGGACCUCUUCUUUCUCUUCUCAUAAUUUAAGUAAGUAUUGGGAGACUAACUCUGUUAACUCAAACCUGUUUUCCCUGUAUCUCUAAAUUUAUUUAAUUGUAUGUGAUUUUGGUAUAUGAUAUACUAUUAAAGCAUUAAAAUAAAGUAGGCUACAUAAUUACUCACUGGAGAUUUUAUAUGUAAUGA